CACGUAGGCGCCAAGCGUUGUCCGGAUUUAUUGGGCGUAAAGAGCUCGUAGGCGGUUCGGUAAGUCGGGUGUGAAAACUCUGGGCUCAACCCAGAGCCGCCACCCGAUACUGCUGUGACUUGAGUUCGGUAGGGGAGCGGGGAAUUCCUGGUGUAGCGGUGAAAUGCGCAGAUAUCAGGAGGAACACCAGUGGCGAAGGCGCCGCUCUGGGCCGAGACUGACGCUGAGGAGCGAAAGCGUGGGUAGCAAACAGG
rnacentral:rRNA from 1 species